rnacentral:rRNA from 1 species
AUAGCGUAUAUUAAAGUUGUUGCAGUUAAAAAGCUCGUAGUUGAACUUCGAACCUGGUUGGGUGGUCUGCCUUCACGGUACGUACUGCUUGGCCGGGUUCUACCUCUUGGUGAGCCAGCAUGCCCUUAAUUGGGUGUGUUGGGGAACCAGGACUUUUACCUUGAGAAAAUUAGAGUGUUCAAAGCAGGCCUUCGCCCGAAUACAUUAGCAUGGCAUAAUAAAAUAGGACGUGCGGUUCUAUUUUGUUGGUUUCUAGAGUCGCCGUAAUGAUUAAUAGGGAUAGUUGGGGGCAUUAGUAUUCAGUUGCUAGAGGUGAAAUUCUUGGAUUUACUGAAGACUAACUACUG